UAAUACUUAGGAAACUGGAUGCAGCA
rnacentral:piRNA from 1 species